CAUCAAUCCGUGAGAUGCUUGCAUCUAGGUACUGUGAAUGAUCUGUCUGGAAAAGCUCGGCUAUUUUUGGUCUAUCCAGUGGCUAUCUUGGAUGCUUCAUUCAUUGUUUGGAUAUUUAUUUCUCUAGCCAAGACCCUUAGCCAACUUCAGGCAAGAAGGUUGAUGGCCAAACUUGACAUUUAUAGGAAAUUCACUAUUGCAUUGGCUAUUACUGUUCUGGUAUCUAUCGGCUGGAUUGGUUAUGAGAUUUACUUCAAAUCGACAGAUGUGUUCAAUGAGCGGUGGCAGUAUGCAUGGAUAAUUCCUGCUUUCUGGCAUGCCCUAUCAUUCUCACUUCUUUGCGUCAUUUCCUACCUGUGGGCGCCUUCUCAGAGCUCAAUGAGGUAUUGUCCUACUCUUUUGAUGACUUCAACCUGGCUAAUACAUUGGCCUUACUGUCUCACUGCGAUUUCCUAGCAGUAGAAUUGCAGUACCAAUCAUCUGUUCUACGAAUAUCGGGAAAUUUGGAAGCAUGCCAUUAAGCUGUCUCUUCAGUCAUGCUACCAUUUAUUGUUGGGAAGUGUUGCCUGCUACUGCCAUUUUGUCACAAAUGCAAACGUGCAACCUCAAAAAAUGUUGUCAGGACUAGUUGUGUCCCACUACUCAGUUUUGCCAUUAGAAGUUACAACUGCUCAAA